CUCGAUUUGCAGAAGGAGAUGAACUAGGGCUCGGGCUCCAUCGACGCUUCGAAUCGAGAGAGAAGGGACCGACUCUCGUCGGGUUACAGCAGCAGCGACGUCGCGGAGGGAGGCAGCGGCCGCUCGCCGGCGACGGCUGGAACGGCAGCUUUUAGGCGCGACGGCAGCUACACAGGGAGCAGCAACAGAUCGAUUGAGAGGGGGGGAGGAUUCUGGAACGGGCGAGCAGCAACAGAGCGCGGAGCCACG
rnacentral:lncRNA from 1 species